GGGUCUGCACCCCUCGCUUCACUCUGUGGGCACUGGGCCGCAAGUAGGAGGGGCCGCUCUGCACAGGGACCGGGGCCGGGGUCUCAGAAUGAGGUCUGGGAGCCACGAGUGCAGAAUCUUUGUAAUGCAACCGUACAGCCAGAUACGGCAUCAAUAGGGAGUGAGAGAGCAUUCAGCCCCGGCUGGCAGGUGGAAGGGCCCGGGGGGCAGUGACGGAGCCCCUGGCAGCAGAGCUACAGAGAGCAAGAAAAAGGGGUUGAGAGACAAUAAUUACUUAUGGACUUGCUGUUCUUUUCCAAAAAAUGGAACCUCUGGAGGCAAUCACAACUUUAUGAAAAUUACGUGAAAACUAGAUUUAUUAUAAGAGAAAUGAACAAGCAUGUGGAACCCAAAGAGUCCAAUCCAUACAGAAGUCUGUGUAUUUAUGACAGCAAGACAAAGAGAGAAGGAGAAAAUACAAAAGUCCACUAAAGGAUGGGGAAACGUGCAGUAAAGGUGGACAAAGGACCCCUUCUAAAGGGGAGGAGCAAGGCGAGGGCAAAAGCCACAUUCUUUUCCCUUUGGAACUGCUAGACCGUGAAGAUAGGAUGAUGUGCUUAUCUACAAGGCUCCCACAAGCAAUUUCUCAAGCUAGUGCAGCCUGUCUGGCACCUGUCUUGACACCCAAGAACACACAGGGAAUACUGUGUUUGGGAUGCAAACAGCAAAUGAUGUCAGCUUGGGGACGGCUGCCCUUUGUUCUUGACACGUAUUUUGGGUCCAGUGUUUCUGGAAAAUAUGGAAACUCAAAAAAGACAAGUUCAGGGGACCCCUUAAUAUUCCUUAACAAGAGUCUAUGUGUGUGUGUGUGUGUUUUCGGUGGGAUCCACCACUAGAAUGAAAGCUCCUUGAGAUUGAAGUUUAUAGCACAUUGCCUGACAAAUGGCGGCACUUGGUAAAUAUUUUUGGAUUGCUUGAUGUUGUGGCUUGCAGAUUUCUUCCUGUGCCCUGAUUCCAUUGUUUGUCAGUGGAUUUCUAUUCUGGGUACAUACUUGUCACACAGUAGGAGCUUAAUCAAUGUUUCUUUCAUUCUUCCCUUCCCUUCCCUUGAUCUUUAGUCUCUACCAGAAUUGAGCAUAAAAAGAACUGAAUUUGGAGUCACAAAUCUCCCUGUUGGUGCUUAUUCCCUGUGUCAUUUUGGCUAAAUUAGUUCAUCUUUCUAGAUCAGUUUUGUCACCUAGAUUAGAUUCUUCCUCUUCCUAUGAUCAUUCAUCAUUCCAGAAUCCCAUCUCUAGAAUUCAAGAACUCCCCUUCGUCUUGUCAGCUCAUCCUCUUUACAUUGUAAAGGCAUCUCUGGCUGUCCUCUCCAGAGUGGACCGGCCCUUAUUUCAUGUUCCCUGUCAUACUGGGGUAUUGCUAAGCUAUGGAAUUAACUGAACCUGUGCUGCUCAAAUCAAGUCAAGGAGCAUUUAUUUAGUGUCUCCUAAGUGCCUGGCACUGUGCUAAGUGUUGGGGAUACAAUGAAAGGCAAAAAAAUGACCCUCAAGGAACUCACACAUGGAGGAGACAACAUGCAAAGAGCUAUGUACAAGCAAGAAACAUGCAAUAUAAAUUGGAGAUAAUCUCAGGGGAAAGGCACUGGGGUUAAGUGGUGGGGUAGGAGAGAUGGUCAGGAAAAGCUUCCUUAUGGGUGAGACUUGGAGGAAGCCAGGAGACUUGGAGAUUUCUCUGAAUUUGGAAAUAGGGAGUUUUAUUGGAGGCACAAUUGUCCCUGAAGCACAGAGUACAUCUGGGGAGUGAAAUAUAAGAUGAGUGGAAAGAUGAGGGAGGAAGGUAGGAUAUAAAGGACUUUAAAAGCCAGAGAGGAUUGUGUAUUUGAACUUGGAGGUAACAUAGGACAUUUGAAGAUCUGCAGAGAGGUUUGGGACAGAUAAGUAGAUUUGAACAUCAUAAGCAUAGAGAUCAUAGGAGCUUAUAAGAACAUCAAGCAAAACAGUACAGAUGAAGAAGAUGGUCCAGGAGAGAUAUUCAUGGUCAUCCAGUUGAAACUUGGAUAAAGAUUCAGUGAAAGAGAAAGGACCGUUGGACAACAAUGAAGAGAAUCAGAGCCAGCAGUAUCAUGAAAACCUAGAGGGAAGAGAGCAUCAUAGUGAUUAUUAACCAAAAUUAAAAAGUUACAAAGAAAACUGAGAAAUGGCCACUAUGCCAAAGGACCAUUGGUCACCAGAGGGGGCAGUUUGAAUGAUGAGGUCAGAAGGCAGACCAUGAAGAGUGAGAGAAAAGGAAGUAGAGAUGCUGAUUGGAGGAGACCCUCCCAAAAAGUUUAGCCAUGAAAGAGAAAAAUAUAAGAUAAAAAUUAGCAGGAAUGGAUGGUUCAAAUGAGAUUUGUUGGGGAAGAGGGGAAUCAUGGGUGCGUUUGUAGAACAGGAGACAGGCAGAGAAUAAGGAUGAAAGAGAAGGCAAUCUGCUGGAGAAGAUAGGGUAGAAUGAGAUCUCUUGUGAAUGAAAAGGGAUUUAUCUUCUAUAUAAGAUAUAAGAUAGGUUAAGAUGAUGGGGGAGAGACCUGAAUGAGAAGGGGAAAAGGAA